GAUGAACGCUGGCGGCGUGCCUAAUACAUGCGAGUCGAGCGAACAGACGAGGAGCUUGCUCCUCUGACGUUAGCGGCGGACGGGUGAGUAACACGUGGAUAACCUACCUAUAAGACUGGGAUAACUUCGGGAAACCGGAGCUAAUACCGGAUAAUAUAUUGAACCGCAUGGUUCAAUAGUGAAAGACGGUCUUGCUGUCACUUAUAGAUGGAUCCGCGCUGCAUUAGCUAGUUGGUAAGGUAACGGCUUACCAAGGCAACGAUGCGUAGCCGACCUGAGAGGGUGAUCGGCCACACUGGAACUGAGACACGGUCCAGACUCCUACGGGAGGCAGCAGUAGGGAAUCUUCCGCAAUGGGCGAAAGCCUGACGGAGCAACGCCGCGUGAGUGAUGAAGGUCUUCGGAUCGUAAAACUCUGUUAUUAGGGAAGAACAAAUGUGUAAGUAACUAUGCACGUCUUGACGGUACCUAAUCAGAAAGCCACGGCUAACUACGUG
rnacentral:rRNA from 1 species